CCUACGGGGGGCAGCAGUGAGGAAUAUUGGUCAAUGGGCGUAAGCCUGAACCAGCCAAGUCGCGUGAGGGAUGAAGGUUCUAUGGAUCGUAAACCUCUUUUAUAAGGGAAUAAAGUGCGGGACGUGUCCCGUUUUGUAUGUACCUUAUGAAUAAGGAUCGGCUAACUCCGUGCCAGCAGCCGCGGUAAUACGGAGGAUCCGAGCGUUAUCCGGGUUUAUUGGGUUUAAAGGGUGCGUAGGCGGCCUUUUAAGUCAGCGGGGAAAGUCUGUGGCUUAACCAUAGAAUUGCCGUUGAAACUGGGAGGCUUGAGUAUGUUUGAGGCAGGCGGAAUGCGUGGUGGAGCGGUGAAAUGCUUAGAUAUCACGCAGAACCCCGAUUGCGAAGGCAGCCUGCCAAGCCAUGACUGACGCUGAUGCACGAAAGCGUGGGGAUCAAACAGGAUUAGAUACCCGAGUAGUC
rnacentral:rRNA from 1 species